GGUGUACAUUAUCCCUUUGCUAUUGUGAUGUCCUGUGUAACUACCACUCACUCCUUCAAUUUGUUCCAGAUCCAUCUCCAAAGCUUCCUGUGCCUUCUGGCAGCAGCACAUGAAGAUGACAGUGGCGUGUGCUCCCUUCCCUUCUCAGUCCAGCCAUGCACAGCAGUGGGUUCCAGAGACACAUUUUCUCUGUUCCUCUCCUGGCUGGUGGUAGAACAGGCUGGAUAAUCUGCAUGCAAGCACAAAAAAAGGUAAGGAUUGAAAAAUAUUUUCCCUUUCACAUCAUCCUGCAUUGAAUACCCCACCCUGAUUUAUAAAGUGUAUUAUGCUAACACCUAAGGAGAACUGGUUUUAGCAGUGUCUGAAGACAAGGGACAUGGGCACAUUCCCUGUUCUAAA
rnacentral:lncRNA from 1 species